UACGUAGGGUGCGAGCGUUGUCCGGAAUUAUUGGGCGUAAAGGGCUCGUAGGCGGUUUGUCGCGUCGGGAGUGAAAUCCAUUGGCUUAACUGGUGGCUUGCUUUCGAUACGGGCAGACUGGAGGUAUGCAGGGGAGAACGGAAUUCCUGGUGUAGCGGUGAAAUGCGCAGAUAUCAGGAGGAACACCGGUGGUGUAGACGGCUCUCUGGACCGUAACUGACGCUGAGACACGAAAGCGUGGGUAGCAAACAGG
rnacentral:rRNA from 1 species